rnacentral:lncRNA from 1 species
AUGGGUUGACCCCAAGAGAUGACCCUAUGGGGUGACCUCACGGGUUGACCCCAAGAGAUGACCCCAAAGAUGGAUGAGCCAUUGGGACGCCCCCAUGAGGUGACCCCACGAUGUGACCCCCACCCCAUAACAGACGGAGCUCCGCGAAGCCGACGCGCUCUUCUCGGCCGCCCCACAGCGCUAUGGGGCGCCCCACGGCCGUCUGCUGCGCGCCGCCCCACUGCCGCGCCUGACGCAGCACCUCCUGGAGAGCUCCAAGAUGGGCGACGGCGCCUUCGUGCCCACCUUCCUCAGCACCUUCCGCGCCUUCGCCCGACCCCACGACGUCCUGCGGCUGCUGCUGGCGCGGUGUGGGGCCUCAGGGGGGGCAUCGGGGGCGUUCUGUGGGGCGUCGGGGGUGUUCUGUGGGGCGUCGGGGGCGUUAUAUGGGGCUUUGGGGGCGUUCUGUGGGGC